UACGUAGGGUGCAAGCGUUGUCCGGAAUUAUUGGGCGUAAAGAGCUCGUAGGCGGUUCGGCAAGUCGGAUGUGAAAUCUCCACGCUUAACGUGGAGGGGCCAUUCGAAACUGCCGUGACUCGAGUCCGGUAGGGGAGUGUGGAAUUCCCGGUGUAGCGGUGAAAUGCGCAGAUAUCGGGAGGAACACCAGUAGCGAAGGCGGCAUUCUGGGCCGGUACUGACGCUGAGGAGCGAAAGCGUGGGGAGCGAACAGG
rnacentral:rRNA from 1 species